rnacentral:tRNA from 1 species
GGGGGCGUAGUGUAGUGGUUUAACAUGCUGGCCUGUCAAGCCAGAGAUCGCGGGUUCAAAUCCCGUCGCUCCCG